GCGAGCGUGGCGGAAUUGGCAGACGCGCUAGAUUUAGGAUCUAGUACCUUAAUGGUAUGGAGGUUCGACUCCUCUCGCUCGCA
rnacentral:tRNA from 1 species